GAUGAACGCUAGCGACAGGCUUAACACAUGCAAGUCGAGGGGCAACGGGACGUAGCAAUACGUUGCCGGCGACCGGCGGAUGGGUGAGUAACGCGUAUGCAACCUACCCACGACAGGGGGAUAGCCCGUUGAAAGACGGAUUAAUACCCCAUAAAACAGGGGUUCCGCAUGGGACUAUUUGUUAAAGGGUUCUCCGCGAGGGGGACAUCGGUUGUGGAUGGGCAUGCGUUCCAUUAGGCAGUUGGUGAGGUAACGGCUCACCAAACCGACGAUGGAUAGGGGAACCGAGAGGUUGGUCCCCCACACUGGUACUGAGAUACGGACCAGACUCCUACGGGAGGCAGCAGUGAGGAAUUUUGGUCAAUGGACGGAAGUCUGAACCAGCCAAGUCGCGUGAAGGAAGGCGGCCCUAAGGGUUGUAAACUUCUUUUGUAAGGGAAUAAAGUGCGUUACGUGUAGUGCAUUGCAAGUACCUUACGAAUAAGGAUCGGCUAACUCCGUG
rnacentral:rRNA from 1 species